UAAACCUUACAAGCUUAUAUACGGGAUCUGUCCCUGACAAUGGUGUGCAAGCUCACCUCGUAGUGAGAAGCCUAAAGUUGUUAUAUGGAAACCCACCUAGCAGAAAGAGGUUUA
rnacentral:sRNA from 1 species